UACAGAGAGUGCAAGCGUUAAUCGGAAUUACUGGGCGUAAAGCGUACGUAGGUUGAACUUUAAGUCAGAUGUGAAAUCCCCGGGCUUAACCUGGGAAUUGCAUUUGAUACUGUAGUUCUAGAGUAUGGUAGAGGGAAGUGGAAUUUCCGGUGUAGCGGUGAAAUGCGUAGAUAUCGGAAGGAACAUCAGUGGCGAAAGCGGCUUCCUGGACUAAUACUGACACUUAGGUACGAAAGCGUGGGGAGCAAACAGG
rnacentral:rRNA from 1 species